ACAAGGUGGAGGCGCUGUACGAGCUGUACAAGAAGAUCCCUUCAAACUGACCAACAGAUCUAGCACUGAAUUGUGGCCUGCCAUUGUGUUAAGCUUUGCGCUGGAUGAUCAGCCAGAAGGUGCAGGACUGCUGAGGUGCAACUUGUCGGCAUUGUAUCUUUGCAUUAUCAGGAUGUGCACGAACUAAGAAAGAAGUUUCUGGUUGACCUGCUAAAAUACAAUGGGAAUGAAUCUAAAGACAACAUCCCUGAAGUUGUACGAGAAUUUGUUAAACGUAUUAGAUAGUGUAUUGUUUCGGAAUGAGAUA